UACGUAGGGGGCAAGCGUUGUCCGGAAUUACUGGGCGUAAAGCGCACGCAGGCGGUUGUGUAAGUUCAAGGUGACAUCCAUUGGCUCAACUGAUGGGGUGCUUUGAAGACUACUCAACUUGAGCACGAGAGAGGGACACGGAAUUCCGGGUGGAGUGGUGAAAUGCGUAGAUAUCCGGAGGAACACCGAAGGCGAAGGCAGUGUUCUGGCUCGUUGCUGACGCUCAUGUGCGAAAGCCAGGGGAG
rnacentral:rRNA from 1 species